rnacentral:rRNA from 1 species
GACGAACGCUGGCGGCGCGCUUAACACAUGCAAGUCGAACGAGUGUCCCAGGCUUGCCCUGGUGGACGGGGGAGUACGGGUGGGAUAUCUGCCUUUUACCUGCCACUAACCCCGGGAAACCGCCGCUAAACCCGGACUGUUCCUUCAUGCCUUCAAUUUAUCGCAUGGACAGGAGAACAAAUGCAAUCCGCUUCUUGAUGGCCUCAUGGCCUAUCAACGUGACGAUGAUGUAACGGCUUGAGAGGACGAUCACCCACACUUGGACUGAGACGAUGUCCAGACUCCUACGGACUGAAACACUGGGGAAUAUUGGACAAUGGGGGCAACCCUGGAAUCUUGCUGCAUGGACGAAAGAUCUGAGCCUUCGACGUUGUAAAGCUCUAUGAAGGCCCUCGAUUUGUAAACCGCUUUCAGAAUGGACCAAAUUGAACUUCCUGCCAGAAGAAGCCCCGGCCAACUACGGGGCUAGCGUUGUUCUAAUUUACUGGGCGUAAAGACGCAUGGUAGUCGUGGCUCAAGUCGAGAGUGUGAAAUGCUCCUAGAGCUCAACUCGAGGAGUGCAUCUUGAGUACUGCGGUGACUAGAGUUCGGUAGAGGGAUAGUGGAAUUCCAGUGUAGCGGUGAAAUGCGCAGAGAUCAGGAAGAACACCAGUAGCGAAGGCGGCAUCUGGACGGUUACUGACGCUGAGACUCGAAAGCGUGGGGAGCAAACAGGAUUAGAUACCCUGGUAGUCCACGCCGUAAACGAUGGGCACUAGAGUGUUGGCGAGCUAUGCUCGUCAGUGUCGCAGCUAGCUAACGCAGCAAGUGCGCCUGCGGGAGUAAGUACAGCAAGCAAGAAACUCACUCAAAGGAAUGGGGGCCCGCCCGCACGGUGGAGCAAGCGGUUCAAUUAGUUGCAACGCGCAGAACCUUCCCAGCCCUUGUCAUGGGACUAGGGAAAAGCAGAGACGCUCCGGUGUCUUCGGGGGUCAGUCCGCACAGGUGCAUCAUGGUCGUCGUCAGCUGUCGUGAGAGAUGGUUUAAGUAGUCCAACAACGAGCAACCCCCUCGUCUCCAGCCACCAUAGUUAUUUUGGGGACUCGUGGGAGAAACCGGUGCCACACCGGAGAGGAAGGUGGGAUGGUCAAGUCUCCAUGCCCCCUACGUCCAGGGGGGCACACAUGUGCCAAUGGGGGGUACAAAGGGGGGUUAGUUGGCGAGAACACGACCAUCCCAGAAAACCCGUUUCCAUUUGGAUCGCCAUUUGCCAAUUGGAGGGCAGAAAUUGGGAAUCGUUGUUAUUGCAGAUUCACCAUGCCUCGGUGAAUACGUUCCCGGGCCUGCACUCACCGC